CCCUUAGAUGUUCGGGGCCGCACACGCGCUACACUGAAGGAAUCAGCACGUCUUUCUCCUUGUCCGAAAGGACUGGGUAACCCGCUGAACCUCCUUCGUGCUAGGGAUUGGGGCUUGUAAUUCUUCCCCAUGAACGAGGAAUUCCCAGUAAGCGCGAGUCAUAAGCUCGCGUUGAUUACGUCCCUGCCCUUUGUACACACCGCCCGUCGCUACUACCGAUUGGAUGGUUUAGUGAGAUCCUCGGAUUGGUCCCGGAGCGGCCUCUGGUCGUGCCGGAGUGCCGAAAAGAAUGUCGAACUUGAUCAUCUAGAGGAAGUAAAAGUCGUAACA
rnacentral:rRNA from 1 species